AGUGAACGCUGGCGGUAGGCCUAACACAUGCAAGUCGAACGGCAGCACAGUAAGAGCUUGCUCUUACGGGUGGCGAGUGGCGGACGGGUGAGGAAUACAUCGGAAUCUACUUUUUCGUGGGGGAUAACGUAGGGAAACUUACGCUAAUACCGCAUACGACCUACGGGUGAAAGCAGGGGAUCUUCGGACCUUGCGCGAUUGAAUGAGCCGAUGUCGGAUUAGCUAGUUGGCGGGGUAAAGGCCCACCAAGGCGACGAUCCGUAGCUGGUCUGAGAGGAUGAUCGGCCACACUGGAACUGAGACACGGUCCAGACUCCUACGGGAGGCAGCAGUGGGGAAUAUUGGGCAAUGGGCGCAAGCCUGAUCCAGCCAUCCCGCGUGGGUGAAGAAGGCCUUCGGGUUGUAAAGCCCUUUUUUUGGGAAAGAACAGCAGCAGGUUAAUACCCCGCUGUUCUGACGGUACCCAAUGAAUAAGCACCGGCUAACUUCGUG
rnacentral:rRNA from 1 species